rfam:Ailuropoda melanoleuca scaffold2498_12, whole genome shotgun sequence.
CCAAAGGCUCUUUUAAGAGCCACUCACGUACUAGAAAAAUGGCGU